CCAGUAAAACCCAGUAAAACGCGGCCGGGCCACGCCCCUUUAAGCCACGCCCCCAGAGAACGUGAUGACGUCAUUGACUGGCCACGCCUUUAUUGGGUGGGGGGGGGAAGGCACUGGGGGGAACUGGGGUGAACUGGGAGGGACUGGGACGAACUGGGACAAACUGGGAGGGACUGGGAUGAACUGGGAUGAACCGGUGUCAGAUGCGUCCGGCGUGCCUCAGUUUCCCCAGGGCACUCUAAAUCCUCUGUACAGCACCGGGACAAAUCGGAACAAACCGGAACAAACUGGGGUAGAACUGGGAUAUACUGGGA
rnacentral:lncRNA from 1 species